CAGUCGAACGGACAGGUAAUGAAACCUAGUGAUUUAUCUGUUAGUGGCGCACGUGUGAGUAACGCGUGGGUAACCUGCCGUAUACAGGGGGAUAACACUUAGAAAUAGGUGCUAAAACCGCAUAAGCGCACAGGAUCGCAUGGUCUGGUGUGAAAAACUCCGGUGGUAUACGAUGGACCCGCGUCUGAUUAGCUUGUUGGUGGGGUAGAGGCCCACCAAGGCGACGAUCAGUAGCCGGCCUGAGAGGGUGAACGGCCACAUUGGGACUGAGACACGGCCCAAACUCCUACGGGAGGCAGCAGUGGGGAAUAUUGCACAAUGGGGGAAACCCUGAUGCAGCGACGCCGCGUGAGUGAAGAAGUAUUUCGGUAUGUAAAGCUCUAUCAGCAGGAAAGAAAAUGACGGUACCUGACUAAGAAGCCCCGGCUAACUACGUGCCAGCAGCCGCGGUAAUACGUAGGGGGCAAGCGUUAUCCGGAUUUACUGGGUGUAAAGGGAGCGUAGACGGUGAAGCAAGUCUGAAGUGAAAGGCGGGGGCUCAACCCCCGGACUGCUUUGGAAACUGUUUGACUGGAGUGCAGGAGAGGUAAGUGGAAUUCCUAGUGUAGCGGUGAAAUGCGUAGAUAUUAGGAGGAACACCAGUGGCGAAGGCGGCUUACUGGACUGUAACUGACGUUGAGGCUCGAAAGCGUGGGGAGCAAACAGGAUUAGAUACCCUGGUAGUCCACGCGGUAAACGAUGAUCACUAGGUGUCGGUGAGUAUAGACUCAUCGGUGCCGUCGCAAACGCAGUAAGUGAUCCACCU
rnacentral:rRNA from 1 species